AACGAACGCUGGCGGCAUGCCUAACACGUGCAAGUCGAACGAAGCCUUCGGGCUUAGUGGCGCACGGGUGCGUAACGCGUGGGAAUCUGCCCUUGGGUUCGGAAUAACAGUUAGAAAUGACUGCUAAUACCGGAUGAUGUCUUCGGACCAAAGAUUUAUCGCCCAAGGAUGAGCCCGCGUCGGAUUAGCUAGUUGGUGAGGUAAAGGCUCACCAAGGCGACGAUCCGUAGCUGGUCUGAGAGGAUGAUCAGCCACACUGGGACUGAGACACGGCCCAGACUCCUACGGGAGGCAGCAGUGGGGAAUAUUGGACAAUGGGCGAAAGCCUGAUCCAGCAAUGCCGCGUGAGUGAUGAAGGCCUUAGGGUUGUAAAGCUCUUUUACCCGGGAUGAUAAUGACAGUACCGGGAGAAUAAGCCCCGGCUAACUCCGUG
rnacentral:rRNA from 1 species